UACGUAGGGUGCAAGCGUUAAUCGGAAUUACUGGGCGUAAAGCGUGCGCAGGCGGUGAUGUAAGACAGGUGUGAAAUCCCCGGGCUUAACCUGGGAACUGCAUUGUGACUGCAUCGCUGGAGUGCGGCAGAGGGGGAUGGAAUUCCGCGUGUAGCAGUGAAAUGCGUAGAUAUGCGGAGGAACACCGAUGGCGAAGGCAAUCCCCCUGGACCUGUACUGACGCUCAUGCACGAAAGCGUGGGGAGCAAACAGG
rnacentral:rRNA from 1 species